GGGGAUUUAGCUCAGUGGUAGAGCACUUGCCUAGUGAAGUGCAAGGCCCUGGGUUCGGUCCCCAGCUCCG
rnacentral:tRNA from 1 species